rnacentral:rRNA from 1 species
AUGUCUAAGUAUAAGUGUUUGUACAGCGAAACUGCGAAUGGCUCAUUAAAUCAGUUAUAGUUUAUUUGAUUGUACCUUUUUACUAUUUGGAUAACCGUAGUAAUUCUAGAGCUAAUACAUGUUAAUUACCCCAACUUUUCGGAAGGGGUGCAUUUAUUAGAUAAAAAAAAAACCGAUGUGAUUGUUCCUUAGGGGGUAGUUGCCUAUUGGUGAUUCAUGAUAACUUUGCGAAUCGCAUAGCUUCGGCUGGCGAUGCAUCAUUCAAAUUUCUGCCCUAUCAACUUUCGAUGGUAGUGUAGUGGACUACCAUGGUUAUAACGGGUAACGGAGGAUUAGGGUUCGAUUCCGGAGAGGGUGCCUGAGAAAUGGCAACCACUUCCAAGGAAGGCAGCAGGCGCGCAAAUUACCCAAUCGCAAUACGCGGAGGUAGUGACAAUAAAUAACAAUACAGGUCCCGACAAGGGACUUGUAAUUGGAAUGAGUACAAUUUAAACCCCUUAACAAGGAACAAUUGGAGGACAAGUCUGGUGCCAGCACCCGCGGUAAUUCCAGCUCCAAUAGCGUAUAUUAAAGUUGUUGCAGUUAAAAAGCUCGUAGUUGGAUUUUGGGAGUUCAUGGAUGUCGGGUGGAGUUUUUGGGAAGGUUUGGUUUCGAUCAGAUCUUAACUGGAUUUCAUUUGCUCUAUGUCCAGUGGAUUCAAGUUGAGAAGUGGGCGACCAUUUUUCAACUCCAUUGGAAUGAGAACCGGUCUAUUUGGAGUUUUUUUCGAUUCCAAGUGUGCACUGUUUUCAGGCUUCUUUUUUUGGGUCAGUCCAUUUCUGCUUUUAAGUAAGUGGAAGUGAAGGCUCCCAAUCGUUUACUUUGAAAAAAUUAGAGUGUUUAAAGCAGGCAUUUAAUGCCUUGAAUACAUUAGCAUGGGAUAACGGAACACGGCAGGGGGCUCGUUUCGUUGGUUUUAAAAAAAAGGAGGGGGAAUUUACUUCUCUCUCUUUUUGAGCCUCAUGUAAUGAUUAAUAGAGAUAGUUGGGGACAUUUAUAUUCCAUGGCUAGAGGUGAAAUUCUUGGAUUCAUGGAAGAUAAACUAGUGCGAAAGCAUCUGUCAAGGAUGUUUUCAUUAAUCAAGAACGAAAGUUAGGGGAUCGAAGACGAUCAGAUACCGUCGUAGUCUUAACUAUAAACUAUGCCGACCAGGGAUUGGGAGACGUUACGUGGAUGACUCCCCCAGCACCUUGUGAGAAAUCACGAGUCUUUGGGUUCCGGGGGGAGUAUGGUCGCAAGGCUGAAACUUAAAGGAAUUGACGGAAGGGCACCACCAGGAGUGGAGCCUGCGGCUUAAUUUGACUCAACACGGGGAAACUCACCAGGUCCAGACAUAGUAAGGAUUGACAGAUUGAUAGCUCUUUCUUGAUUCUAUGGGUGGUGGUGCAUGGUCGUUCUUAGUUGGUGGAGUGAUUUGUCUGGUUAAUUCCGAUAACGAACGAGACCUCAGCCUGCUAAAUAGUAAAGUGAAUCUUCUAAAUGGGUGAAGUUGGGGAGUAUUGAGGUGGCCCUUUGUGGUCAUUUCGCCUUGAUGGAUCCUUGAAGAAUUUGCUUUUUCUUUAUUAAACAAAUGAAAUUUUUUACUUCUUAGAGGGACAAUUCAUAUCGUAGUGAAUGGAAGUUUGAGGCAAUAACAGGUCUGUGAUGCCCUUAGAUGUUCUGGGCUGCACGCGCGCUACAAUGACUAGUUCAACGAGUUUUUUUGCCUUGGUCGAAUGGCCUGGGUAAUCUUUCAAAACUAGUCGUGCUGGGGAUAGACUAUUGUAAUUAUUAGUCUUCAACGAGGAAUUCCUAGUAAGUGCAGGUCAUCAACCUGCGCUGAUUACGUCCCUGCCCUUUGUACACACCGCCCGUCGCUCCUACCGAUUGAACGAUCCGGUGAAACCUCGGGAUUGAGAGAUAUGCCUUGGGGCAACUCAGGUGCGAUCUUUUAAGAACUUGUUUAAACCUUAUCGUUUAGAGGAAG